UUUGUUAUAUAAGGUGUUGGCUUUAUACUCCGUUAUAGGCAACUUUGCAUAAUAACAUUAGUGCUUUUUUUCCCUACAGUGAAAUGAUCGAAUGCUUUCUUCAGCUUUGAGUAUUGCUGAAGACUCAAAGUGCCGUGUGGUGGUGUUCUCGGGUGCAGGGAAAAUCUUCACUGCAGUUUAUUUUGGAUACAGGCAGAGGAAGCUCAGCGAAAGCUUAAGAGACAGAAUGGAGAGGACCCAGCCCUGCCUCCAUUCUGCCCACUGUUUGCCAGCUUGGGAAACAUUCUGCAGUGUGACGUGCCGCUUGGCAUGUUGGGAGCUGUGCUGCAGUGGGCUAUGGAGCCCAGUGGAGGACACUGGUCUGAGUCCAUGCUGCAGAGGGUAAAUGUUUGGAUGUUUUGUUAAAAUGACAUGAUAGUGUAGUAAAUUCAACAAAAUUCCACUUGCUAUGCUGUGUUCAUGAGCAUCACUUUUUAAUGACUGAGUAGUGUUCACAAUUCUGUAUGUGUGUGUUGCUACAGGUGCUGCACUUGUUAGGCAUGGCUCUGCUGGAGGAGCAGCAACAGCUAGAGAACAUUGGGGAUGACGAUGAAGUUACUUUCAACUUCACCCUGAAAAUCUCCCAUGGUGGUUAGCAUUAAAACGAUGCGCGAGUGCACAGCUGCUGCACCUCCCUGUGAAGGAACAGGGCACUGUCACAAGGAGACUGUGUGGGACAAAGACAAAGCAUAGAGAAAAAGGAAAGCUGAACUGUGCUGGAAAAAGACCAUGGCUCAAACAUUAUAGAGCCAGAGUCAUUUUAUCAAUAAGUACAUAGAUCUGCUCACGCAGGAUUCAGAGCAUCUGGACGCCUCAGCCUCUACAUCAGCAGAGCAUAGGUACCUAAGCAUGCUCGUAGUGACGCAGUGUUCUUAAUAAUUCAACUUGUAUUGUAUUCUCAAUAUCCAGUCAGUACAUUUAUGUCAGUAAAUGCAUGCAUCAACACUUCAUUGACUUUGCUGAGCAGUUGUCUGUUCUUUGUCCUAA